UGGAGCAGCCGCCUGCAUCCACCAUUGUCCCGGGGCUGGGGCUGGUGGGGAAGGACAAAAGUUGUAGUGCUGCAUGGGGAAAGUGUAGCAACUCAAAGACAUAUGCUCAACUGAGUUAUUUCAGCAGAGAAUCACACCCAAAGAGGUGCAAACUGUGGCUGGGACAUGGGGCUGCUGUGAACAAAUAGGUGCUUUCUAGGCAUGUGGAUACCAGAAUGGAGCACAGCAGUAGUUGCAACAGAGCCAAAUGAGAGGUUGUUUGGCUCCUUGAUACUCCCGUUUGCAUGCUUUAAAUAUACGGAUCACAGUAAGUCACAGUGGAUUGAUAAUUGCUGUAAACACAAGCCUUUUUUAAAAGUUGCUGGUUCCCUGGUAAGCGUGGCCUGGGUUCUUCCCUCGGGUACAGAGCUGCUGAGUUCGCUCUCCUGGAGUGUGGGAGGUGUUUUCUUUUUCUCAGCUUACCAGCAAUUUAGGUCACCAAGCAUCAGCACCUAUCCUCCUUAUUUACUGGUCUUUAGAUCUGUCUGUCAUUUGUAACCCUGGAUCAAGAGUGAUUUUGCUUGUGCUGUAAGGUCACUGACAAAAAGUUGUAAAUAACACUGUGUGAGGACUGGUUCCCACAGAAACCCACAAAAACCCACCUGUGUUUGGAAAUGAUCCCUUAUCUGCAGCUGGAGAUCUGACCACUGUCCAAAUUGAGAGCCACUUGGCAUGUGCUACAUGGAUUUGUAUUGUUGUCGUUCUUUGGUCCAGAAGGCAAGCUAUUGCAGAAAGGUAAAAACUAAACUACCUCUGUUAUGAAGUCCCACACCAGCCGUCCUCUUGCCUUGGCCAAAAUCAGGUGCCUGUGGUACAAUAUCCAUGUUCUUGUACUCUCCUGGAACUUCUCCAACAUUCAAAGGUUUAAAGAUUUGGCUUCAGUGAUCUAAACAACCCUUUGGACAGUUCUUUUUGAAAACUUGAAUCCGCAUUAGCUUUCAUUAAACCUUCUCCUGUUAUUUUUAUAACACAGGGUAUUUCAUCACCAUAUGAUA